rnacentral:lncRNA from 1 species
GAAAUACAGGGGCAGAGGAGGCAGCAGGGAGGCCCUGGGAGCUCUUUGAAUCCCCAGGUAGCCUAUUCCUGCCUGGCACCACUGGGAUUCAUCAGGAGGGAGGCCAGAGGAGCAGGAGGUGGGAGGCGGAAAGCCUCGGGCAAGUUUUCAAGCCCGUCCUCUGUCUGGAAACAGACUCAGAGGUGUUGCAGGGGACACGGUGGGAGUGAGACCAGCCCUUCGGUGUGCGUGGGAUCUGGGGGAGGCCUGUGACUGCCGGCUUUCCCCUGCUUCUCUGACAACCUGCAUGACUCAGCAGAGGCAGCCAUAAUCCUGGAGAGCCCCGGUUUAAGAUCUCCAGGUGAAGUAGAUUUUUAUUAACCUUCAGGAAGGGGAGAGUGGCUCAUGGGCUGAGUGGAUAAACCACAAAAUGGGUAAUAUACUAUAGGAGGCAGAGUUUGAGAUCGACGUCCCCCUGCACCUGGGGCGCCUCCUGAUGGUGAAGCUGCGCAAACACAACGUGCUGUUGAGUCUCGACUGGUUCUGCAAGUGGAUCUCAGUGCAGGGCCCGGGGACCCAAGGCGAGGCCUUUUUCCCCUGCUACCGCUGGGUGCAGGGC